rnacentral:rRNA from 1 species
UACGUAGGGGCAAGCGUUGUCCGGAAUCAUUGGGCGUAAAGCGCGUGUAGGCGGCCCGAUAAGUCCGCUGUGAAAGUCCAGGGCUCAACCCUGGAAUGCCGGUGGAUACUGUCGGGCUCGAGUCCGGAAGAGGCGAGUGGAAUUCCUGGUGUAGCGGUGAAAUGCGUAGAUAUCAGGAGGAAUACCGAUGGCGAAGGCAGGUCUCUGGGCUGACACUGACGCUCAUGCACGAAAGCGUGGGGAGCAAACAGG